rnacentral:rRNA from 1 species
AGUGAACGCUGGCGGUAGGCCUAACACAUGCAAGUCGAACGGCAGCACAGUAAGAGCUUGCUCUUACGGGUGGCGAGUGGCGGACGGGUGAGGAAUACAUCGGAAUCUACUUUUUCGUGGGGGAUAACGUAGGGAAACUUACGCUAAUACAGCAUACGACCUACGGGUGAAAGCAGGGGAUCUUCGGACCUUGCGCGAUUGAAUGAGCCGAUGUCGGAUUAGGUAGUUGGCGGGGUAAAGGCCCACCAAGGCGACGAUCGGUAGCUGGUCUGAGAGGACGACAAGCCAAACUGGGAAGGAGACACGGCCCAGACUCCGACGGGAGGCAGCAGUGGGGAAGUUUGGACAAUGGGGGCGAACCUGAUCAAGCCAUGCCGAGUGAGGGAAGAAGGCUUUCUGGUUGUAAACCGCUUUUGUUCGGGAAGAAAUCCUAUGGGCUAAUACCCCGGGGGGAUGACGGUACCGGAAGAAUAAGCAGCGGCUAACUACGUG